rnacentral:rRNA from 1 species
CUAUGCUGCCUAGAAAAGCCCAGUAGCGAGUUGACAUGGUGCCCGUACCCCAAACCAACACAGGUGGACAGGUAGAGCAUACCAAGGCGAGUGGGAUAACUAUGGUUAAGGAACUCGGCAAAUUUCCUCCGUAACUUCGGGAUAAGGAGGACCCCAGUAGCGUGACGAGACUUGCUCUCCGAGCGUGAAGGGGUGGCACAAAAUUGAGGGAAGCGACUGUUUACCAAAAACACAGCAGCGUGCUAAGCCGUAAGGCGCUGUAUACGCUGUGACUCCUGCCCGGUGCUGGAAGGUUACGGGGAUGGGUUAGUCCUUUGGGACGAAGCUCUGAACCUAAGCCCCAGUAAACGGCGGCCGUAACUAUAACGGUCCUAAGGUAGCAAAAUUCCUUGUCGGGUAAGUUCCGACCUGCACGAAUGGAGUAACGACUUCCCUACUGUCUCAACCAUAGACCCAGCGAAAUUGAAGUACGAGUAAAGAUGCUCGUUAGCUGCAGAAGGACGGAAAGACCCCGUGGACCUUUACUAUAACUUGAUGUUGUGUUUUGUCAUAUGUUGUGUAGGAUAGGUGGGAGACAAGGAAGCAUGGACGCUAGUCUGUGUGGAGUCAUCGUUGAAAUACCACCCUGCAUAUGGUGAGGCUCUAACCUAGACCCGUUAUCCGGGUUGGGGACAGCGUCAGGCGGGUAGUUUAACUGGGGCGGUUGCCUCCUAAAGAGUAACGGAGGCGCCCAAAGGUUCCCUCAGCCUGGUUGGCAAUCAGGCGUCGAGUGCAAUGGCAAAAGGGAGCUUGACUGCGAGACCUACAAGUCGAGCGGGAGCGAAAGCUGGGCAUAGUGAUCCGGCGGUUGCGUGUGGAAGCGCCGUCGCUCAACGGAUAAAAGGUACCCCGGGGAUAACAGGCUAAUCUUGCCCAAGCGUCCAUAGCGACGGCAAGGUUUGGCACCUCGAUGUCGGCUCAUCGCAUCCUGGGGCUGAAGCAGGUCCCAAGGGUUGGGCUGUUCGCCCAUUAAAGCGGUACGCGAGCUGGGUUCAGAACGUCGUGAGACAGUUCGGUCCCUAUCCUCUGUAGCCGUAGGUGAAUUGAGGAAAGCUGUCCCUAGUACGAGAGGACCGGGACGGACGCAGCUCUCGUGUGCCAGUUGUCCUGCCAAGGGCAUGGCUGGUUAGCGACCUGCGGAAAGGAUAACCGCUGAAAGCAUCUAAGCGGGAAGCCUCUUCCAAGAUGAAUUCACCCACUGGGUUAACCUGGUAAGGCCCGUGGUAGACCACCACGUUGAUAGGCCGGAAGUGUAAGC